GCGCAUAGUGGUUCCAGGAUUUCCAAGUUCAAACAUCAUAUUGAUUUCUACUUGUAUGUUAAUAUGAAAGAAAUGGUCUUCAAUGGAGAAUUUGGUUACUGGAAACCAAAAAGAACAAUUGGAGACAGAUGCUCAGUAUUCAACGUCAAAAAUGCAAGACCACGACCAUCAUCAGAAGAGCAGCAGUCCUGUAAUGAUCCAAAUGGGCUGACAAUUGGCUGACUUGGGGUCAUGACCUCUACUACAUAACUAAAAAAGACUAAUCAAAUGAAGCUUAUUCAGACACUGUGUUGGAAGCAAUGUUUACAAGGGCGCCCUCAGUCAUCAAAGUCUGUAAUACAGAAAGAUUGUCAUUUAGUUCUGUCUCCUGCUUCAUCAAUGUACUCCUUGAAUGAUGCCUGUUCAUUGUACGAGCAAAGUUGUUUACACCAAGCUCCCAACACAACAUCAAUACUCAACGAGUGACAACACCUCCAUCCUAUCAAGGCCAAGCCUGUCCACCAUCACCUUUCAAUAUGACAGUAAAGUAAAUGUUUUAGAUAGUCCACGUAAUUCGUAACGCUUGCACUUCAAAUCAGAUGUUUUUAAAAUCAAUUUUUACUGAAUAUGGUCUGAAUUUCCCAGAAGUUCUAAAGCAGCGGGGAAGGGUCACCUGACUAUUGACCUUCAACCUGAUGGUGAACGCGCUCAAAAUGAGGUUGAAAGAAUGGAUGUGUGGGAUAGGUCUGUGAAACACAAUUGAAGCCAUGGGAACGUCUGAGCAGUGUCUCUUACUUCUAGUGAGUCCAUCAAUGAUGUUGAAGAAACAAACAGUGGUUUGGGAGACAAGGCCUGUAGCCAUUGUGUGAUGACAGGAUGUGUGGCCUGUAGAUCUGAAGAUUCUCUCCACAGCCAUGUAAUGCACAGUGAUAGACAAAGCCCACCUGGCUAUUGACCUUUAACCUGAUGGUGAAUGCACUCAAGCUGAGGUUGGUGAGAUAGAGUGAAACAGAAUUACAAGCCAUGGAAAUGUGCGGACAGCUGUAUGUACGUUACCUUGAAAUGCUCGGUACUGAACGUCAGUGAUGCAGACUGUGAUCAUCAUCGGAAGAGCAACAGUCCUGUAUUGAUCCAAAUGGGCAACACUUGGCUGGCCGGGGGUCAUGACCCCAC
rnacentral:lncRNA from 1 species